CCCUUAGAUGUUCUGGGCCGCGCGCGCUACACUGACACGUUCAACGAGUUUUGCCUGCUCCGAUGGGACUGGGUAAUCUUAUGAAAGCGUGUCGUGAUGGGGAUAGAUUAUUGCAAUUAUUAAUCUUCAACGAGGAAUUCCUAGUAAGUACAAGUCAUCAGCUUGUGCUGAUUACGUCCCUGCCCUUUGUACACACCGCCCGUCGCUCCUACCGAUUGGGUGAUCCGGUGAAUAACUCGGACUGCAGCUAUUCGGGAGACCGUUAGCUUGUGGAAAGUUUAGUAAAUCUUAUCACUUAGAGGAAGGAGAAGUCGUAACA
rnacentral:rRNA from 1 species